AGUACAUCAAGUUGGUGUCAAACACCCCAGGCCACACCCUGGCUCUGUCAGUGACUCUCCUAGGAGCUUGGGACAGUCCCCAAACCCAGUGAAGCCCUACAAACUGCAUCGUGGAAACUGGGAACUCUAAUGCCCAUUUCACCACAUGACUCAAGAUGAAAUAAGGGUUAAUUUGGUUUCAGUCCAGAUACAAGUUUGGAAGAAGAGAAAUGCUAAUUUUGUCUGAAUUGCUAAGAAGGAAGCAGUCUUCAAAGUCACAGACUGAUGAAGUUAUAAGUAACCAAUGAGCAGAAGGUGGGCCCUUAAGGGGCAAGCAGGCUGCACCUGAACGAGACACCCGACAAGACACACCUGAGCAGGCUCUGGGCUCCAUGGUUGGAGUGAUGGGGCAGCUGAUCCCCACCCAAGCCAUGGCACCUGGUGUCCUAGGUCGAUCCGGUGCAUUCAAGGACUUAAUUAUAAUUUUUAAUAUUUUUCUUAAAACAUAUUUAUUGUUCCUUUAUUGUAUAACUACAUAUUUAUGGCCCCAAAUUUGAAAAUAACACAAAAUAGAAGCAAAUUAAAAUCACUUAUAAUUUUGCCUCACAGAGUAUCUGUUGACAAUUUGGUUCAUUUCCUUUAAAAAAAUAUUAGGCGUAUAUGCUCCAUAUUGUUCCAUAGUCUGUUUUUGCGCUUAAGCUUUCAUUUCAGCAUUUCCCAUUGCCAUUUCUGAGUCCUUGAAAACAUGAUUUUCAUGAAUGCACUGUCCCACCUUAAGGAUGGAAUUGAAUGGUCUUGGGGCACUGAAAUUGCGACAAAGAUUUAGAGCUU
rnacentral:lncRNA from 1 species